rnacentral:rRNA from 1 species
GUAGGUGGCAAGCGUUGUCCGGAAUUAUUGGGCGUAAAGCGCGCGCAGGCGGUUCUUUAAGUCUGAUGUGAAAGCCCACGGCUCAACCGUGGAGGGUCAUUGGAAACUGGGGGACUUGAGUACAGAAGAGGAAAGCGGAAUUCCAAGUGUAGCGGUGAAAUGCGUAGAGAUUUGGAGGAACACCAGUGGCGAAGGCGGCUUUCUGGUCUGUAACUGACGCUGAGGCGCGAAAGCGUGGGGAGCGAACAGGAUUAGAUACCCUGGUAGUCCACGCCGUAAACGAUGAGUGCUAAGUGUUAGGGGGUUUACCCGCCCCCCUUAGUGCUGCAGCUAACGCAUUAAGCACUCCGCCUGGGGAGUACGGCCCGCAAGGCUG